AGAGUUUGAUCCUGGCUCAGGAUGAACGCUAGCGGCAGGCUUAACACAUGCAAGUCGAGGGGUAACAUCGGUGCUUGCACCAGAUGACGACCGGCGCACGGGUGAGUAACGCGUAUACAAUUUACCUUAUACAGGGGAAUAGCCUUUAGAAAUGAAGAUUAAUGCCCCAUGGUCUAUAUUAAUUUCAUGAUUUAUAUAGUAAAGAUUUAUCGGUAUAAGAUGAGUAUGCGUUCUAUUAGCUAGAUGGUAGAGUAAUGGUAUACCAUGGCGACGAUAGAUAGGGGCCCUGAGAGGGGGAUCCCCCACACUGGUACUGAGACACGGACCAGACUCCUACGGGAGGCAGCAGUGAGGAAUAUUGGACAAUGGAGGCAACUCUGAUCCAGCCAUGCCGCGUGAAGGAAGACGGCCCUAUGGGUUGUAAACUUCUUUUAUAGAGGAAGAAACCCUCCCACGAGUGGGAGGCUGACGGUACUCUACGAAUAAGCACCGGCUAACUCCGUGCCAGCAGCCGCGGUAAUACGGAGGGUGCAAGCGUUAUCCGGAAUCAUUGGGUUUAAAGGGUCCGUAGGCGGGCAAUUAAGUCAGAGGUGAAAUCCCACAGCUCAACUGUGGAACUGCCUUUGAUACUGAUUGUCUUGAAUUAUAGUGAAGUAGAUAGAAUGUGUAGUGUAGCGGUGAAAUGCAUAGAUAUUACACGGAAUACCGAUUGCGAAGGCAGUCUACUAACUAUAUAUUGACGCUAAUGGACGAAAGCGUGGGGAGCGAACAGGAUUAGAUACCCUGGUAGUCCACGCCGUAAACGAUGGAUACUAGUUGUUGGGGUUUACCUCAGUGACUAAGCGAAAGUGAUAAGUGUCCCACCUGGGGAGUACGUUCGCAAGGAUGAAACUCAAAGGAAUUGACGCGGGCCCGCACAAGCGGU
rnacentral:rRNA from 1 species